AUGAAUAGGAUGUACUUCCCAGAGCAACUGUCUCACCAGAAGGAGACAUUCAGUCCAGCAGGAUUCAAUUCCAGUUCCAGAACUUCUGGGCGAGCAGUGACUGUUCCUGGCAGAGCUACAUUCACAAUCUGCAGUUAAAUCGACGAAGUGAAGGAGAAGAGUUUACUGUCAACUCCUGCCUCUCCUCUCAGAUAUAAUCCAGCUGAUGACCCAUCAGACACAUAUCAGCUGGGAUCAGCUGAACAAGAUAUUGUCUUGUUCAGAAGAGAGGAAGAGGCCCCAGAUGAUGACGUGACUUUUGUACAAUGCUCAAAUCUCACUGAUGAACGGGAAGAAUACACCACAGCCUCUCUGUAAAUCUUCACAUUGGACACACCGUGGUAGGAAGGCCAUACAAGGGAUUGGGCACACCUAUUCUUUUUUCCUUUAUCAUGUGAAGAUAUUAGUUUGCCAGAAUGAACAGUUCAGGAUUCAAGCUGAAGAUGCAAGGAACAGCUCUGCACACCCUGAGGUUUGGAUUCUGGAACCGCAUUGCCAACAUGAACACCCGCCUGUGAUGCCACAUGUGGCUUGGCAACCUGUUAUACCAGCCCUAUCCGCUGUUGCUGCCACCAUUUUGCACACU